rnacentral:tRNA from 1 species
UGGGCUAUCUCCAAGCGGUAAGGAACAGCACUUUGACUGCUGUAUUCGCGGGUUCGAUUCCCGCUAGCCUAG